GGGAUCUCACAUGAUACUCACUGAAUGUAAUUCAAUUUUUCAGUAGUACUCUACCGAAUAUGUUUUCUUUUUUCAGUGAUAGUCCACUGAAGUUGUUUCCGUUUUUCAGUGAUCAUAUACCGAAUCCGUUACUGAGUGUGUACUUAAUACUGUUUUUUUAGAUAUGAAGAGGACUCGCAGAGGUACUAUUGAGGCUUCAUCAUCUCGACCUGAUAGACAACGUCCUACAGCUUCAACGAGGAGACAGAGAGCAGCUCCCCAAGAUCACUUUGAGGAUACUAUAUAGGUUGAAGAUGUAGCUGCUACUCAUGAUAGUAAUGUUGAGGUACAUGUUGAGCCUACUGAGCCUACUAAGCCAUCUCGAGUAAGUCCCAUUUAUCCAUGUUUACUUACGAGUUUUAAAACUCACGUAGCAGCUGCAAUUUGGAAUAACCAAGAACAUGAGCCUCUUAGGUGCAUGUCGAAGACAUCUACCAUUCGUGAGUGGAAUUGGUGGGGUAAUCCAAAUAAUGGUAUAUUCAAAGGGUACCCUUCGUUUAUGUUCCCGAAUACACUUCUUAAAAACAGAAGACAUAUCAUGUAGUUGCUGCAACAAAUCCUUGCGUACCCUACGCCAUUCAUUAUUACCAAAUCUCAUUGACAUAGCUAUGGUUCUAUAUCCACAGUUACCAUCCGGAAGAACUUCAGUCUGAUAGAGCAGUGAAGGCCUCAGCAAUCUCAAAUGCAGAUGGCAAACGACGAGUAGAAGUGUCGACUUUUCGCGGUCUCCCUUUGGUCUUCAACUUAUCUUUUGGUUCAGUAAGUGCAGUAGAACUAGUGUUCAUUAGCUCCUCUAGUGUCAUGUGGACUUGUCUCUUCUUUUCAUCAUCUUGUUAUUCAUACCACAUAUUGAAUCUUUGUAAUUGUGACCUUCCUGGUGAAGUUUUGCCAUGACUACUGUUUCGUAUAUUGAUGA